UACGUAGGUGGCGAGCGUUGUCCGGAUUUACUGGGCGUAAAGGGAGCGUAGGCGGACUUUUAAGUGAGAUGUGAAAUACCCGGGCUCAACUUGGGUGCUGCAUUUCAAACUGGAAGUCUAGAGUGCAGGAGAGGAGAAUGGAAUUCCUAGUGUAGCGGUGAAAUGCGUAGAGAUUAGGAAGAACACCAGUGGCGAAGGCGAUUCUCUGGACUGUAACUGACGCUGAGGCUCGAAAGCGUGGGGAGCAAACAGGAUUAGAUACUCG
rnacentral:rRNA from 1 species